GCGAGAGUGGCGGAAUUGGCAGACGCGCCGGACUUAGGAUCCGGUGCCCUCGGGCGUGAGGGUUCGAGUCCCUCCUCUCGCA
rnacentral:tRNA from 2 species